GCGGGUUUGUGACUCACUGUGGCUGGAAUUCAGCUUUGGAGGGAGUCACUGCUGGCGUGCCCAUGGUCACAUGGCCAAAUUCUGCUGAACAAUUCUACAAUGAGAAGCUGAUAACUGAUGUUCUGCGAAUUGGGGUUGGCGUUGGUGCUCUGUAUUGGGGCAGAGCUGGGAAAGAUGAGAUAAAGAGUGAGGCUAUAGAGAAGGCAGUGAACCGAGUUAUGGUGGGUGAAGAAGCUGAAGGAAUGAGGAGCAGAGCAAAAGCACUUGGA
rnacentral:misc_RNA from 1 species